rnacentral:misc_RNA from 1 species
UUUCCGUAGGUGAACCUGCGGAAGGAUCAUUAUAAAAUUUUUGAAGGAGCUGUUUGCUGGCCCUUAGCGGGGCACGUGCACGCUCCGUUUGAAUCCAACCUUUAUACAUCUUUGCACUCUUUGUAGGGUUGUGGCCGCGAGGCUGCACCCUAUGUCAUUAUAAACGCUUUAGUAUGUGUUGAAUGACCAUUGCGUUUAUCGAAUCUUUAUACAACUUUCAGCAACGGAUCUCUUGGCUCUC